rnacentral:rRNA from 1 species
AGAUUGAACGCUGGCGGCAGGCCUAACACAUGCAAGUCGAGCGGUAGAGAGGUGCUUGCAUCUCUUGAGAGCGGCGGACGGGUGAGUAAUGCCUAGGAAUCUGCCUAGUGGUGGGGGAUAACGUUCGGAAACGGACGCUAAUACCGCAUACGUCCUACGGGAGAAAGCGGGGGACCUUCGGGCCUCGCGCCAUUAGAUGAGCCUAGGUCGGAUUAGCUAGUUGGUGAGGUAAUGGCUCACCAAGGCGACGAUCCGUAACUGGUCUGAGAGGAUGAUCAGCCACACUGGGACUGAGACACGGCCCAGACCUCCGUACGGAGCAGCAGUAGGGAAUAUUGGACAAUGGGACGAAAGCCUAGAUCCAAGCAAUGACCGCGUGAGUGAUGAAGGUCUUAGGUGUAAAGCUACUUUACCCGAG